UGGGCGGCGCAGUGGCUAGCGAUGGCAACAACAUCACGGGAGCUAUGUUCACCCAGUUUGAGGUGACGUUGAGGAGAUGUCGACGAACUCUGUGGAUGAGCGGUGGUCAUGAGAGUUUCCGAGGAAGGCCGACUCGAUCAUGGAGUUGCCAUCGCUGCAAAAGGCGAUGCUGGCAACAGAGAAAGCCAUCCAUUUUUGCCACCGUGAAUAACAACAUUGUAAGGCUCUACAUUGGUUGCUGAAGCAGCAGAGAAGCUUGCGUCAUGCAAGCAACUGGUGGCUGCAAGGAUCUGUAUGUAAACAUGGCUUCUGCUAAAGAGAUAAACUGAGAGGUACUACUAUCCUGGUUCCAUGGAAGGCUUAUUUGUCAUCUUGAAUCCCGAUUUGGACAAGAAGAAAUCCCCCAUGUUUCCUUGAAUCUCUGUAAAGCAGCGUUGUGCAUUGCUAUUGAAUGAUGCCGUGGGUCGUGGGCAUAGAAUGGAGGUUGCAUCACAUCCUCUACAUUGUGUCAAAGGACAUGCAUGUGGUGGUGUUCAUAGUGGACGGGGUUUGUUUUCAUGUAAGUGAUCGUAUAUGUAAGAUAGGUGGUGGAUGAAUUGGCAUUUCAUAAGUUUUUUCCCGUUGCAACGCACGGGCAUAUUUCCUAGUAAAAUAUAAGACUUGCACCUAAAUUAGUAUUUUAAA